CAGGCCUAACACAUGCAAGUCGAGCGGGCACUUCGGUGUCAGCGGCAGACGGGUGAGUAACACGUGGGAACGUGCCCUUCGGUUCGGAAUAACUCAGGGAAACUUGAGCUAAUACCGGAUACGCCCUUUUGGGGAAAGGUUUACUGCCGAAGGAUCGGCCCGCGUCUGAUUAGCUAGUUGGUGGGGUAAUGGCCUACCAAGGCGACGAUCAGUAGCUGGUCUGAGAGGAUGAUCAGCCACACUGGGACUGAGACACGGCCCAGACUCCUACGGGAGGCAGCAGUGGGGAAUAUUGGACAAUGGGCGCAAGCCUGAUCCAGCCAUGCCGCGUGAGUGAUGAAGGCCUUAGGGUUGUAAAGCUCUUUUACCCGGGAAGAUAAUGAC
rnacentral:rRNA from 1 species